AUUAGGCCUGUGGGGAAGAUGCUUUUGUCAUGGGACCUUCUUGGUGUGCCUUUAAUCAGAUAGGCAGAUGGGUGGGGGAUUUUGGUCAUGGUCUUCCAUAGACAUUAGUAUUAGGGUUUAUUGUAUGUCUACAAAUCUUAGGAGGCUUUGGACCCCUUCCAGUUGUACAGAGCUAUUUCACAUGUAUGCUGUCCCUUGGAGGAAGGUCCACAGGUUUCAUCAGAUACUUAGUAGGAUGCACGGUAUUCUGCAUUUUAAGACCUGCAGCUUUGCAGAGCUCUUACACUUGUACCUUGGAUCCUUUAUUAACAUUCUGUAGGACCCCAUCCUCCCUGGGUUUUGAGAGGAGUCAGAACGAGGAUAGCUGAAUUAGUAGGAUGAUGUCUUUUCUUUUCUCUUUCUCUGUUUCUGCAAGUUGUUUAUCAUGUACUCAUUGUGCUUGGAUCUCAGUUUUUUUCCAGAAGGAAAAUCUUUAAAAAUAUUUGCAAGAACAAUGUGAGGUUGAUAGAUGCAAACUGUUACAUUUAGAAUGGAUAAGCAAUGAGGUCCUGCUGUAAAGCGCAGGGAUCUAUGUCCCAUCUCUUGAUAUAGAACAUGAUGGAAGAUAGUAUGAGAAAAAGAAUGUAUAUAUAUACAUAUAUAUGUAUGACUGAUUCACUAUGCUGUACAGUAGAAAUGGACACAACAUGGUAAAUCAAUUAUACUUUAAUAAAAGAGAAUGAUAUAUAUUUGUUGUUAAGUGAAACACCGCAGUGUUGCAAGUAUAAGUUGAAAUUCUCCUAAUCCCAUACUAGGUCUACUUCUAGUACUUUAGUGUAUAUCCUUUUACACUGAUUACAUUGUUAAUACAUUUAUGUUUUAACUUUUAUAAUGGAAAAUAAUAAAGCUGGACAAGGGAGAAAAUGCUUGUUGAACAACUGAAUGAAAGAGUACUUAUUUUUGUGGUCACUUCUUAUUUCCCAUUCCAAGUGCAUUCGGGGAAGGGUCAUGGCAACUACGACAUCUGCAACAACAGGUGACAUUAAGUGCUAACUAACAUUGUGCUCACUGUUUUACAUGCCUAAUUUUAAGCCUCACAAGAACUCUGUGAUUCUAUUCUAACUUUAAAAAUUUUAAUUUUUAUUAUUUUAAAGUUUUAAUUUUAUUAUUAUUUUUUACUGGAGAAUAGUUGAUGUUGCAAUUUUUUUUGACAGAUUGAGAAACUGAGGUGCAGAUAAAUGAAGGAACUUGCUUGAGUUAAGUGGCAGAUUUCAAGGCUUGCUGGCAGUAGGACCCACCAUUUUAGUUUUCCAUCCUAGCUCUGGCAGGGUAUCAAGACAAUACAGGAGUAGUGUUUGAGGAGAAAAAGGCAAUAUUUGCCUCUCCCUGAGUUCUUUACUGGUCUGAGUUCACAGAGUAUAGUCCUCUUAACCUCUGCUCUUGUCCCCAGGGCCUUUAAUUUGAGGAAGGAAUGGAUUGAACUCAAUGCAAAUGAUAUUAAUCCAGCUUCCUCAAAACGAUGGUCCAGAAAAACCCAGAGGGGGGUACCAAAAUUGAACUGUGCAUCCCUGAAAUUCUCAUAUCAAAUUACUUUUAAAAUGGCUAUGUUAAUGCCUUCCACGGCACAGGAACUUUCCAAGCAGGAUUGGGACCUGCAGCUAGAUCAGGGAGAAGGAAGUUAAUGAUGUGAUGUGGUAGCCAGUGGAAGCUGGGACUUCGGUCCUGGUUAUUAAUGAUAGUCAUAAUGAUGAUGAUAAAUGGAGUGUAUUUGUUGGAUUUUAGCAAAGUCUUAAUUACAAGAUGAACACAAAGGAAGACAUCCUCUUUCUAACAAAACCGUUAGUAUAUGAAUGAUGAUCCCUGAAUACUUGUCCAUUGCCUGUGCUCUGGUCUGAAUAAACAGAGGCAGCUUCCUGAUUCUACUCUGGGAAGACUGGUGAGCAGGUCAAUUCCAGGUUGAGAACUCUACAAACAAGAGGUAUUUUUAAAAAAUGCCACUCUUAGGCCGCUAAAGUUUUGGGCAAUAAAAUAUCUUGCAUUUGAGAAUUUUAUAACACAGGAUCCUUGGAAAGUACCUUAUUCAGAUUCCUCAUUUAUUUACUGACGAUAACCUGAGGCCAAAAGGGAAGAGAUGACUUGCCCAAGCACAUACAGUCGCAGGGUCAAGACUCCAAAUGCCCAGACCUUCACUAUACACCUUUUCAUUUAUUCAGUGUUGCCUCCCUAGGUUUGGACUAUAAAUUGUCUUGCUUUAAUGGGAAGCUGCUUUACCCUGUUAAGAGCCCACCCUUCCAGGCUGUUUGAUUCUCACCUUUCACUGCCCUUGAACUAUUUCAGUACUUAAAAAAUUACAGAUAGCAGAUAGCAAAGCAAAAUAAUUCUUGUCUUCCUGACACGCAAAUGAAUUAUGUCUACCGGUGGGAUAACCCUCCCCCUCCCCCCACCCCAUGCAAAUAUCAGUUUCAUGUCCAUUUCCACAUUCAUUUAAGAAUGCAUUCUUUUAAGUAACCCAAUUUUUGCCUCUUCAAACUUUCCCUUGAACUGGUUAUUUCAUCUCCCCUGUUUGCUCACUUAAGUAAUGACUUAAAUAAUAAAUAAAAUGUAACGUGUUAUUUUUGCGUAUAUGAGUCACAAUUUUACUUUUUUUUUUUUUUCUUUUUAGGGCCUCAUCCAUGGCAUACGGAAGUUCCCAGGCUAGGGGUUGAAUUGGAGCUGCAACUGCCGGCCUAUGCCACAGCCGUACCAAUGCCAGAUCCAAGCUGCAUCUGUGACCUACACCACAGCUCACGGCAACGCUGGAUCCUUAACCCACUGAGUGAGGCCAGGAAUUGAACCUGCAUCCUCAUGGAUACUAAUCAGGUUCAUUAUCGUAGAGCCACAAUGUGAACAUCUCACAAUUUUACUUUUUUAUUUUUAUUUUUUUGCUGGAAAUUAUGUUAAUACCACCAUCUUCAUAGUUUGGGACAUAUCUAAGAACUGUCUUUUACUAAACAGCUUUCUUGAAAUUAAUUCACUUUAAAAUACUUGAAGUGGAGUUCCUGUUGUGGCUCAGCAGAAACAAAUCUGACUAGUAUCCAUGAGGAUGAGUGUUCGAUCCUUGGCUUUGCUUAGUGGGUCUGGAAUCCAGUGUUGCCGUGAGCUGUGGUAUAGACCACAGAUGUGGCUCAUGUCCCAUGUUGCUGUGGCUGUGGUGUACACAAGCAGCUGUAGCUCCAACUUGACUCCUAGCCUGGGAGCUUCCGCAUGCCGCAGGUGUGACUCUAAAAAAAAGAGAGUGUUUUUAUGACAUAUUCAAUUUCAUUUCUAGUGAUUGGUCAGUUCAGUUGAUCUAUUUCUUCAUGGUUCAGCUUUGGCAGUCUGUAAGUCUCUAGAAAGUUGUCCAUUUCUUCUAGGUUGUCAAAUUUGUUGGUACAAUUUUUCAUAGUAUUCUCUCAUGGUUUUUUGUAUUUCUGUAGUAUCCAUUAUAACUUCUCUUUUUUUCAUUUCUUAUUUUGUUUAUUUGGGUUUUUUCUCUCCUCUUCUUGGAGAGUUAGCCAGAUAUUUGUCAAUUUUGUUUACCUUUUCAAAGAAUGAGCUCUUAGUUUUAAUUUUUUCUGUUGAUUUUUAAAUCUAUUUUAUUGAUGUCCUCUUUGAUCUUUAUGAUUUUCUUCUUUCUGCUGACUUUAGGCUUUGUUUGUUCUUCUUUUUCUAAUUCAUUUAGGUGGUGGGUUAAGUUGUCAAUUUGGGAUUUUUCUUCUUUUUUGAGGAAGGCCUAUAUUGUUAUGAAUUUCCCUCUGAGCACUGCUUUUGUGGCAUCCCAUAGAUUUUGAGUGGUUAUGUCUUUAUUAUCAUUUCUAUCCAAAUAGGAAGAGAAGAGCUAAAACUGUCACUAUCUGCAGAUGACAUGGUACCAUAUAAAGAAAACCCCAAGGACUCAACCCAAAAACUACUUGAGCUGAUCAACAAAUUCAGCAAAGUAGCAGGAUAUGAGAUUAACAUUCAGAAAUCAGUCACAUUUCUGUAUACUAACAAAGAAAUAUUAGAAAAGGAAUAUAAAAAAAUGCAAUACCUUUUAAAAUUGCACCCCCCAAAAAAUCAAAUACCUGGGAAUACACCUGACCAAGGAGGUAAACGACUUACAUGCCUAGAACUAUAAAACAUUAAUCAAGGAAAUUAAAGAAGAUGUAAAGAAAUGGAAAGAUACUCCAUGCUUCUGUGGUGGAAAAAUUAAUAUUGUAAAAAUGGACAUACUACCCAAAGCAAUCUACAGAUUCAGACAAUCCCUAUCAAGUUGCCCAUGACAUUUUUCACAGAACUACAACAAACAAUCCAAAAAUUAUUUGGAACCACAAAAGACCCAGAAUUGCUAAAGCAAUUCUGAGAAAUAAAAACCAAGCAGGAGGCUAACUCUUCCAGACUUCAGACAAUAUUACAAAGCCGCAGUCAUCAAGACAGUGUGGUACUGGUACCAAAACCAGACAUACAGACCAAUGGAACAGAAUAGAGAACCCAGAAACAAACCCAGAUACCUAUGGCCAAUUAAUCUUUGACAAAGGAGGCAAGAACAUAAAAUAGGAUAAAGACAGUCUUUUCAGCAAGUAUUGCCAGGAAACCUGGACAGCUGCAUGCAAAUCAAUGAAGCUAGAGCACACCCUCACACCAUGCAUGAAAAUAAACUCAAAAUGGCUUAAAGACUUAAAAAUAAAACAAGACACCAUCAAACUCCUGGAAGAGAACAUAGGCAAGACAUUCUCUGACAUCAAUCUUAUGAAUAUUUUCUCAGGUCAGUCUCCCAAAGCAACAGAAAUAAAAGCAAAAAUAAACCAAUGGAACCUAACCAAACUGAC
rnacentral:lncRNA from 1 species